rnacentral:antisense_RNA from 1 species
AUUCAGAGCCCCAGCCUGUUCAUAAAAAAAAUCAGAUGAAUUUUGUCUGCGGAACAUUCUGCAAAAAUAUCUGACCAGUAAGUAAUCCUCUAAAUAGCCACAGCCAUCAACAGCAAGGAAAGUCUGAGAAAGUGUCACAGCCAAGAGGACCCUAUAAAGACAUGAUGACUAAAUGUAACAUGGUGUCUUCCAUGGGAUCCUGAAACAGAAAAAGGACAUUAGGAAAAGAAGGAUAAAACUAUCUGAAGCCCUGUUAAAAGUCUGAGUCAUUUCUGCUCUAUUUCUUUCCCUACGAAUGGUAAGAGCUGGGGAUUGUGGUAUGUGCCUUUAGUCCUAGCUACUCCGGAGGCUGAGGCAGGAGGAUCACUUGAGCCCAGGACUUUGAGGCCGCUGUAAGCUAUGAUCAUGCCACUGCACUCCAGCUCAGGCAACAGUGAGACCCGGUCUCAACAAACAAAAGAAAAUAAAAGAAUGGUAGACAAGGAAAGCAGUUGAACAGCUAUGUGAGAAGCCUACUUUCUCUUCAUGUAACACGUUGGCCUAAGAGAUCUAUAGAGCUUUUUAAAAACAAAGAAGGCAGCAAGAUUUAAAAUAAUAAAACCAGCAAUAGGUAUUUUUAAAAGUGAGAGAAACUAUCAGAGAGCUGUAGCAGAAAAGCAAGUUAAAAAUAAAGGAAACAGAAAAGGAACUGAUACAGCUGAUUUGAUACUAGAAAAAUCACCCAGGAGGCGGCGUGGAGAAUGGAUUGGAGAAG